AACGAACGCUGGCGGCGCGCUUAACACAUGCAAGUCGAACGAGAAGCUGUAGCAAUACAGUCGUACAGUGGCGAACGGGUAAGGAAUACAUGGGUAACCUACCCUCGAGUGGGGAAUAACCAGCCGAAAGGCUGGCUAAUACCGCGUACGCUUCCCAGUCUGCGGGUUGGGAAGGAAAGCUCUACCGUGGGUAGAGCGCUCAAGGACGGGCUCAUGUCCUAUCAGCUUGUUGGAGGGUAACGGCCUACCAAGGCAACGACGGGUAGCUGGUCUGAGAGGACGAUCAGCCACACUGGCACUGCGACACGGGCCAGACUCCUACGGGAGGCAGCAGUGAGGAAUAUUGCGCAAUGGGCGACAGCCUGACGCAGCGACGCCGCGUGGGGGAGUGAAGGUC
rnacentral:rRNA from 1 species